rnacentral:rRNA from 1 species
GACGAACGCUGGCGGCGUGCCUAAUACAUGCAAGUAGAACGCACAGUUUAUACCGUAGCUUGCUACACCAUAGACUGUGAGUUGCGAACGGGUGAGUAACGCGUAGGUAACCUGCCUGGUAGCGGGGGAUAACUAUUGGAAACGAUAGCUAAUACCGCAUAAUAUUAAUUAUUGCAUGAUAAUUAAUUGAAAGGUGCAAUUGCACCACUACCAGAUGGACCUGCGUUGUAUUAGCUAGUAGGUGAGGUAACGGCUCACCUAGGCGACGAUACAUAGCCGACCUGAGAGGGUGAUCGGCCAAACUGGGACUGGGACACGGCCCAGCAUCCUACGGGAGGCAGCAGUAGGGGAUCUUCGGCAAUGGACGAAAGGCUGACCGAGCAACGCCGCGUGAGUGAAGGAGGUUUUCGGGUCGUAAAGCUCUGUUGUAAGAGAAGAACGGGUGUGAGAGUGGAAAGUUCACACUGUGACGGUAUCUGAACAGAAAGGGACGGCUAACUACGUG